rnacentral:rRNA from 1 species
AUUGAACGCUGGCGGCAGGCCUAACACAUGCAAGUCGAACGAUGAUCCGGGUGCUUGCACCUGGGGAUUAGUGGCGAACGGGUGAGUAACACGUGAGUAACCUGCCCUGGACUCUGGGAUAACCCCGAGAAAUCGGAGCUAAUACCGGAUAGGACCUUUCCUCGCAUGAGGGGGGGUGGAAAGUUUUUUCGGUUUGGGAUGGACUCGCGGCCUAUCAGCUUGUUGGUGAGGUAAUGGCUAACCAAGGCGUCGACGGGUAGCCGGCCUGAGAGGGUGACCGGCCACACUGGGACUGAGACACGGCCCAGACUCCUACGGGAGGCGGCAGUGGGGAAUAUUGCACAAUGGGCGCAAGCCUGAUGCAGCAACGCCGCGUGCGGGAUGACGGCCUUCGGGUUGUAAACCGCUUUUAGUAGGGAAGAAGCCUCUUGGGGUGACGGUACCUGCAGAAAAAGGACCGGCUAACUACGUGCCAGCCGCCGCGGUAACAC